rnacentral:rRNA from 1 species
GGUUACUGCUAUCGAGGUUCGACUAAGCCAUGCGAGUCGAAUGUAGCAAUACAUGGCGUACUGCUCAGUAACACGUGGACAACCUACCCUUAGGCCUGGGAUAACCCCGGGAAACUGGGAAUAAUACCGGAUAUCUCGCGAAUGCUGGAAUGCGUCGCGAUAGAAAGCUCCGGCGCCUAAGGAUGGGUCUGUGGCCUAUCAGGUAGUAGUGGGUGUAACGUACCUACUAGCCUACGACGGGUACGGGUUGUGAGAGCAAGAGCCCGGAGAUGGAUUCUGAGACACGAAUCCAGGCCCUACGGGGUGCAGCAGGCGCGAAAACUUUACAAUGCUGGAAACAGCGAUAAGGGGACCUCGAGUGCCAGGAUACAAUCCUGGCUGUCGUAAUGCCUAAAAAGCAUUGCAUACAAGGGCCGGGCAAGACCGGUGCCAGCCGCCGCGGUAACACCGGCGGC